rnacentral:rRNA from 1 species
UGGGGAAUAUUGGACAAUGGGGGAAACCCUGAUCCAGCGAUGCCGCGUGUGUGAAGAAGGCCUGCGGGUUGUAAAGCACUUUCAGUUGGGAAGAUAGUUUGUAGGGGAAUAUCCUGCAGAUGAGACGUUACUAACAAAAGAAGCACCGGCUAACUCUGUGCCAGCAGCCGCGGUAAUACGAAGGGAGCUAGCGUUGUUCGGAAUCACUGGGCGUAAAGCGCACGUAGGCGGAUUGUUUAGUCAGGGGUGAAAUCCCGGAGCUCAACUUCGGAACUGCCUUUGAUACUGGCAAUCUCGAGUCCGAUAGAGGUGGGUGGAAUUCCUAGUGUAGAGGUGAAAUUCGUAGAUAUUAGGAAGAACACCGGUGGCGAAGGCGGCCCACUGGAUCGGUACUGACGCUGAGGUGCGAAAGCGUGGGGAGCAAACAGGAUUAGAUACCCCAGUAGUCCCUGAGCGGGCUGGCAAGGCGCAU